rnacentral:rRNA from 1 species
CCCUUAGAUGUUCUGGGCUGCACGCGCGCUACACUGAUGCACUCAACGAGUUUACGACCUUGUCCGAGAGGAAUGGGUAACCUUUUGAAAGUGCAUCGUGAUAGGGAUAGACUAUUGCAAUUAUUGGUCUUCAACGAGGAAUUCCUAGUAGACGUAGUUCAUCAGACUGCAUCGAUUACGUCCCUGCCCUUUGUACACACCGCCCGUCGCUCCUACCGAUUGAAUGCUCAGGUGAGCCAUUCGGACUUUCAUCAUGCUGGUUUCCAGUUUUGAUGAAGGAAAGUCUUGCGAACCUUAUCAUUUAGAGGAAGGAGAAGUCGUAACA